UGACUACUCCCUCCAUUUCAAAUUAUUUGUCUUAGAUUUAUCAAGAUACGAAGGUAUGUAAUACUAAAAUAAGUCUAAAUACAUCCGUAUCUAAACAAAUCCAAGAUAAAUAAUUCAGAACGAAGGGAGUAAUAC
rfam:Triticum urartu cultivar G1812 contig260849, whole genome shotgun sequence.